AUUUUCAGCUGAAUACCUUUGUGCUAAAAAUUAAAAGCUACGUUCUCCAAAUUUAAAGGAUAUGGCGGUUGUUUAAUCUAAUUAGAGGAACCUGCUUGAUAAACGAUAAACCACGUAAAAUCUUACCUAAUUUUUAAAGUUUGUAUACCGUCAUUAUUAGGCGACUUUCAAAAAAGUCUCCUAAAUAGUAAUCUUUAAACUAAUAUAUUAGAUCAAGGUGCAGCUUAUAGUUAGGGCAAAGUGGGUUACAAUAAGAUAAACUUAUACGAAAAUAGGACCGAAAUUACCUAUAUGAAGGAGGAUUUAAUAGUAAAAAUAAAUUUAAUAAGAUAUUUUGACACUAGACCUAAACUAAGUACAUAUCGCCCGUCACUUUC
rnacentral:rRNA from 1 species